rnacentral:rRNA from 1 species
UUAAAAAGCUCGUAGUUGAAUUUCGGGAUUCACACGUUGGUCGGGCUUUUUGGUCUGUACUUAUGUAAUGGAUUCCUACCUUCUGAAUAACCGGCAUGCCAUUAAUUUGGUGCGCCGGGGAAGCAGGACUGUUACCUUGAAAAAAUUAGAGUGCUUAAAGCAGGCUAUCGCCUGAAUACAUUAGCAUGGAAUAAUGAAAUAGGACGGCAUGGUUCUAUUUUGUUGGUUUCUAGGAUCACCGUAAUGAUUAAUAGGGAUAGUUGGGGG